rnacentral:tRNA from 1 species
GCCGAGGUAGCUCAGUGGUAGAGCAGCCGAUUCGUAAUCGGCAGGUCGCGGGUUCAAGUCCCGCCCUCGGCUCCA